rnacentral:misc_RNA from 1 species
GAUGAAGAACGCAGCGAAAUGCGAUAAGUAAUGCGAAUCGCAGAAUUCCAGUGAGUCAUCGAAUCUUUGAACGCACAUUGCGCCCUUUGGUAUUCCGAAGGGCAUGCCUGUUCGAGCGUCAUUAUCACCCCUCAAGCCCUCGGCUUGGUGUUGGACGGUUUGGUGGAGGCCCCCUCGGGGGCUCCUGCCCCUCCCAAAGACAAUGACGGCGGCCUCGUUGGACCCCCGGUACACUGAGUUCUUCACGGGACACGUAUCGGACACAUGGGUUUACGGGACACGGUCUGCCUCCCCUCAGGGAGAAUCUUUCUAAGGUUGACCUCGGAUCAGGUAGGGAUACCCGCUGAACUUAAGCAUAUCAAUAAGCGGAGGA